rnacentral:rRNA from 1 species
UUGAACGCUGGCGGAAUGCUUUACACAUGCAAGUCGAGCGGCAGCGCGGGGCAACCUGGCGGCGAGCGGCGAACGGGUGAGUAAUACAUCGGAACGUGCCCGAGAGUGGGGGAUAACGGAGCGAAAGCUUUGCUAAUACCGCAUACGAUCUACGGAUGAAAGCAGGGGACCGCAAGGCCUUGCGCUCAUGGAGCGGCCGAUGGCAGAUUAGGUAGUUGGUGGGAUAAAAGCUUACCAAGCCGACGAUCUGUAGCUGGUCUGAGAGGACGACCAGCCACACUGGGACUGAGACACGGCCCAGACUCCUACGGGAGGCAGCAGUGGGGAAUUUUGGACAAUGGGCGCAAGCCUGAUCCAGCCAUGCCGCGUGCAGGAUGAAGGCCUUCGGGUUGUAAACUGCUUUUGUACGGAACGAAAAGACUCCUUCUAAUAAAGGGGGUCCAUGACGGUACCGUAAGAAUAAGCACCGGCUAACUACGU